GCUUACUUCCAUCUCUCGUUUGAUCACAGGCUUUCAAAGGUGGGGCAUGGGCUCAGAGGCACAAAUUGGACUGACAAAUGCUGAUAGAGGAGGAGAACACCAUGCAAUAAAAAGAAACACCCAAGCGCAGAUCUGUUUCAACGCAAACGGUAGCUGAUGCUAAUAUAAUUGGUCGGCGUAGCAGCGAUCCAUCCAACACGCCUAGAGAUACCUAGGCACUCGAUGAUAUUUCUCGCGUCAAUGCACCCCCUAUGCCGGGAAUCGAUGGCUCAACCGGCAAUCGAGCAGGAUGGAUAUCCUAGCGCCUCUAUAUUAGCACCCACAAGGAAAGUAAACAUAGACGCAUAUUGUG